rnacentral:sRNA from 1 species
AAUAUCAAUAUACUGGGUAUA